UUCCGUUGUCCUCCCGUCGGUCUUUGCGCGACAGGUGGGGUGACACGAAUUUCAAAAUGUCUACGGGGUGUGAAUUCAACACUCUUGAUGUGUUUUCGAUCUUCCGGGAGCUAUCCGACCUUUUGCUGCCCAUUGUGCUGCCCAAUUGGUGAUGUACCUGAGUUACAGGAUGGCGACGAAAGGUGUGUCACACUGCAGCUGUGUGGCCCAAGGGCUAUAGAAACAGAGAUGGGUACCGCCUCUAUACACUGAUCGUGGAUGUGUGGAAAGGAUAUCAACUAUAUCUUCCAAAUCUACUUCAUCUGUCCGAAACCUACUGUAUUCAAUCCAGACGUUGUUUGUCCUCUACUGGCUUUUGAUCAUGAUCAAACCUGCAGCUGAAGUAUCCAGCGAUGGCAAAACUGUCAUUAGUGCCCCCGCGUUCACUGCUGACUCCAAGAUACCUCUGGGCUCAUCGAUCGGCAAACGUCGGGUCCCGUCGGCCAUUCUCGGCACCUGCUCUACCCACCUCGGCCUUGAAAGUCUUACAGCCUAAUCCGUGCCCUCUGAUGUCAUAUGAUGGCUUCUGACUGCUCGGGGGACAACGGAGAUACUAGAACUGCUGCGGUUGCUUUCAGGGCUUAGCUGUAGCUCUUUGAACUUUUGUUUUAGCACAUGAUGUGCAAUACUUGUUGUAUAUUUCUACCUGAGGGACAUUCUAGCAAGCUCCACUGGUCUGAUGAGUCACCACACCUUCAUUUUGCCAGUUAAUGUAUAUUUGGGAUAUAUUACUGCCCUUGUACAAUAAUCCAUUUGACUGAUGAAAAAAUUGGUAAGCCUCGAGGAAUGUUCUCAGUGAACAUUCAUAACAGAAUGUGUAAAACUGUAUAUGUCUCGUCUAAAAACUGUUUUAACAUUGCCUUAAAAUAUGUGUUCAUCGGAAUUAUGUUUUAAGGUUGAAUUUUGUUCAUCUGAGAACGAUAUGUUUAGUGUUACAUCUUGUUGGCGACUGACUGGAUAACAAAGUUAUUUAUUCACGAUAUCGUGUUUAUCAAGAACCGAAGUUUCGAUGACCGUCCGUUGUGUUCUUCAGGGCAACAGUAGCUAGUAUUGGUUCACUUUGCACCGCAGCUUUGUGUCAGCACUAACAAUGUCAAUGCAGUUCCAAACGUAAAUCAUUGUCACAUACACAGAUAUUGUUACGAUAUGUUCAUCCGCUUCUUGGUGCGAGGUACAAGGUAUACGUUUAUUGCAAGCACUUGCUCUAAGGCAAAUAAAUAGAUA